AUGAGGCCAUCCAAACACGGAAACCAUAAAGUAGUUGUUUUAUAAAAUAACAACAACACGAUAGUCUUCCGUGUUUGGAUAGCCUCAUC
rnacentral:miRNA from 1 species